CAACAACCGCAAAGCAGACAGUGACUGGAACGUGGUGAAGGAGUUCCUCAGCAGCCUUUCUCUGGCAGUGCUCCUCGUUCUCUCCUCGUUGCUAGGAUACCUGAUGCUGCUAAACCAUGAUCCGGAUGUUCACAGUGUGCUCAGCAUCGUCUUCUGCAUUUUCAAUGUCAUCCAGGCCUUGCAGAUAUUCCUCCUCAUCCCAGACUGGCAGCAGGUCUUCUCCGUGAUGCCUUCCUUACCCUCACCUGCUGUUUCUCUCGGCCUGCACUCCAAGAAGUAUCACGUCCGCCCC